GACGAACGCUGGCGGCGUGCUUAACACAUGCAAGUCGAACGGAAAGGCCCUGCUUUUGUGGGUUGCUCGAGUGGCGAACGGGUGAGUAACACGUGAGUAACCUGCCCUUGACUUUGGGAUAACUUCAGGAAACUGGGGCUAAUACCGGAUAUGAUCUCCUGCUGCACGGUGGUGGUUGGAAAAUUUCGGCGGUUGGGGAUGGACUCGCUGGUUAUCAGCUUGUUGGUGGGGUAGUGGCUUACCAAGGCUUUGACGGGUAGCCGGCCUGAGAGGGUGACCGGCGACAUUGGGACUGAGAUACGGACCAGACUCGUACGGGAGGCAGCAGUGGGGAGUAUUGCACAAUGGGGGGAAGCGUGAUGCAGAAACGCCGCGUGCGGGAUGACGGCCUUCGGGUUGUAAACCGCUUUCGCCUGUGACGAAGAGUGAGUGACGGUAAUGGGUAAAGAAGCAACGGCUAACUACGUG
rnacentral:rRNA from 1 species